CAACAUUAAUAAAAUAAUAUCAUCUAUACCUAAUUGGACAUGCAAAGUUUAAGUUCUAAAUGGAAGUUGAGAACGAAAAAGUCACGAGAGAAAAGAUAAAAUUUCAGAAUCUUAUGUUACAUGAUGAAAGAGGAAAUUGCCACUGGAAGGAAAAUAAACUAACAAGGGAGAGAAAGUAUGAACUCGAGGGAGAUUCUAGAGCAGCAGAAUAAAGAUUGGUCGUAAUGGAAAAAAGAGAAAGGGGCAGGGGGCAGGCAAUUGAUGAAAGUGACAUCAAACGACUAUUGCCAAGGUGAUGCUAACUUGAUAGGUGAACAUUAAUUAGGUGUGGACUAAUAUUAGGCAUAUAUUGUGGGUUUUGUAUAGCUUUUAAUUGGGUUAUAUUCCUAUAUGCCCACGCACACAUACCCCUAUCAGUAUUGCACGAGCAAGCGACAAUAUGUGUAUGUGUGCAAAGUAUUGCGUUAGAACAUAUUUUACUUAAAGAUAUGUGUAUUGCCAAGUCAUUUUUCCUAUU